AGUGAACGCUGGCGGUAGGCCUAACACAUGCAAGUCGAACGGCAGCACAGUAAGAGCUUGCUCUUACGGGUGGCGAGUGGCGGACGGGUGAGGAAUACAUCGGAAUCUACUUUUUCGUGGGGGAUAAUGUAGGGAAACUUACGCUAAUACCGCAUACGACCUACGGGUGAAAGCAGGGGAUCUUCGGACCUUGCGCGAUUGAAUGAGCCGAUAUCGGAUUAGCUAGUUGGCGGGGUAAAGGCCCACCAAGGCGACGAUCCGUAGCUGGUCUGAGAGGAUGAUCAGCCACACUGGAACUGAGACACGGUCCAGACUCCUACGGGAGGCGGCAGUGGGGAAUAUUGGACAAUGGGCGCAAGCCUGAUCCAGCCAUACCGCGUGGGUGAAGAAGGCCUUCGGGUUGUAAAGCCCUUUUGUUGGGAAAGAAAAGCAGCAGGUUAAUACCCCGCUGUUCUGACGGUACCCAAAGAAUAAGCACCGGCUAACUUCGUG
rnacentral:rRNA from 1 species